UACGGAGGAUGCAAGCGUUAUCCGGAAUGAUUGGGCGUAAAGCGUCCGCAGGUGGCUAUGUAAGUCUGCUGUUAAAGAGUGAGGCUCAACCUCAUAAGAGCAGUGGAAACUACAUGGCUAGAGUGCGUUCGGGGCAGAGGGAAUUCCUGGUGUAGCGGUGAAAUGCGUAGAGAUCAGGAAGAACACCGGUGGCGAAGGCGGGUCUCUGGGCAACUACUGACGCUGAGGAGCGAAAGCGUGGGGAGCGAACAGG
rnacentral:rRNA from 1 species